AAAUUCUGUAUAUAAAUAGAGCAUCUCGCCUAGCUUGUACAUUGAAAUCUUUGAAGGAAUCUCGAGUGACAGCCUUCAGGAGAGCAUGUUGACAAAACGUGCAGCACUUCUUUUGAUUUUGUCCAUGGUUGUCUCCAUGGUCAUGGCGAAACCAAGAAAACAACUUCAGGAGAGAGUCCAAGAGCGGGCAGAUGAGGACUACGACACAUAUUCCGAUGAAACGACCACCGAGGGAGAUGGCAAAACGGGAGAAGGCCCAAUACCUAAAGCGCGGCCUCCUGGUUCCAAUGUUGGGGAUGAUUUUGAACCCCCUGUAAUAGAAGACAGUUACUGCGUUGGAACGCUUCACUGUCUUCAAAAUCACCGCUUGCCUGCUCCAGCUUCCCAAUAGCGGCCGCUACCACGUGUCAGCUACAACCCUACGUCAUGAGCCACGUCACCGCCGUGCUGACUUAAAGACGACGGCAAGCCUUCGACGAGCCCAUUUGCUCAGUGGUGGUGGCAACGGAUGGUACGACUCUACAGUGAUCGCUAUCCUCUGCUUUUGCAGGUUGGUUAAAUUUCUGACUACUUUCACGUACUAUAUUGCUUCUGCCACCACCACUGCUGCGUAUACUUCCUUUACAUUUUGGCGCUGAAGUGCUUUGUAGUUUCUGUUCUUUGAACCGAAAUGUCGGAGUUGUUUGGUCUGUAAUCAGCUGCUCCCAGAUAAUUGUGUGAAUCCAACGUGUUCUGAAUGUAACUACAGUUACCAUUUGGGAACAUGCUCGGGCAUAAGAAAAACUGCCUUCAAAGCUAAAGAUGAUACGUCAGAAAGAGCAUGGAAAUGCCAAACAUGUCUUGUCUUAGCUGCCCGUGGCACUCAAUGCGCAAGUGGUAACUUGCGGGAUAAAAAAGCAGUCGAGAAGGUGUUCAUUGAAAUUAAUCGAAAGUUGACUCAGUUACCUUUAAUUCAGAGUAGGGUGGAUGCUCUUUUUUCAAUUAAGGAAACGGUCGAAAAAAUGGAACACUCCAUUGAGCAUCUGUCUGUUCAGUACGACAUGGUACUUGCAGAAUUAAAAAAAAACAAUCUGCAGAAAUCCUAAGCCUUGGGAAAAGAAUCGAUGUGGUGGAAUCCUCUCACAACAAUCAGGAAGUGUCUGAAUUAAAAAAAAAAACAGGUCGCCGCCCUCGAACAGUACAGUAGAAGACAGAAUCUAGAAAUUCAUGGACUGCCAGAUGUUGAAAACGAGAAUCUGCUCGCUAGGGUGAAUGAACUGGCAAAUAAACUUUACCUUCCUCAGUUUACCCGUACCGACUUUGAGGCCUUACACAGACUGCCUGCCAAGCCUGGCAAAGCCUCGGUAAUAUUAGUUCGUUUCACAUCACGUGUCAUGCUCGAUGAAUGGAUGGCAAAGAAAAAACGAGCUUACAGCUGCUCAAUUGGCGAUACAUUUCAGAAACAAUUUGACACCGCAGAAUAAGAAACUUCUGUGGAUGAUGAAGGUAAAGGCGCGGGAAAUGCACCACGAGUUCGCAUGGCAAAAGGAUGGAAAGCUUUUCAUGGGUAGGGCAUCUGGCCAGUGGGCAGUGCGCAUCAAUUGCGAAGCUGAUCUUGAUAAGAUUCGUUGAGCGGCCACAAGAUUGCAUCGCUUAUAAUUUUCCUUGUUAUGAUUUCUACUUUCGAUGACUGACUUCACUAAAGUUAUGCAUCACGAUGUUUCUUCUUUUAAAUCCCUAGUACGUACCCUGCGCAAAAAAAGCGAUAACAUGUCAAUUUUCCACGCAAAUAUAAGAAGCCUGAGGAACAAGCAACUUGAAACAGAGACAUUUUUUGAAUCCCUAGAUUGCAAUUUUAAUUCGUAGCAUUUACGGAAACUUGGCUUCAGAAUGUUCAAGAUGUUGUACACUUUUCCGGCUAUAGGUCUGAAGGUGUUUAUAGAUCGGGUCGUAGAGGUGGAGGAACUUCUUUGUAUAUUAAACAUGACAUUGCCUAUGAUGUUUUGCUGCAGUUUUCUGGUAUUACUGCGCAUUAUGAAUCAAUCGUUGUUAAGAGUGCUGGAACAGUCAUUGCUUCAAUUUAUCGCCCGCCUUCUGGUGAAGCUACAGCACUCAUUGAAUAUAUUACGUCUGUUUUUGAAUAUGUGUCCUCUGCAAUGCGUCCCAUUGUCCUGGUUGGCGAUUUUAACAUUGACUUACUAACAGACACUUCACAGCCUGGAGAAUUUUUAGACAUAAUUGAGUCAUUCUCUUGUACAAAUGUUAUACGCUCGCCGACAAGAAUAACAGGAUUAAGUCAAGCUCUGAUUGAUCUGUGAGUAAUUAUUCAUGCUGAAAGUGAUGUUAUACCUGGCAUUUUUUCAGUCGAUUUGAGUGAUCACUUACCUGUAUUUUGUAUCUUUCCUGUUCCAAAAAACAAAAUACAUCCCGCUCGCAUUCCCCCAGUACCUUAUCGUAGUUUUAAUCAAAUGCGUCUCUCUGCUUUUCACUCGAUGAUCGAGUGUGUUGACUGGUCGGAUGUUUAUGAGGAAGAAAACGCAAGCAUUUCAUACGACGAGUUACUUCAAAGAAUCAAAGCCCGUGAUAUUAUGUACCGUCAAUUUAUUAAUCUAAAAGAUAUCUCUCUUCUAACUGAACAUAAGAAAAUUCGAAACAAGUUAAACUCUGAUCUCAAGAACGCUCGAUGUGAAUAUUAGAAGAAUAGGUUUAUUGCUGUUUCUCAUGACGCCCAAAAAAUUUAGAACACAUUACGAUUGCUUAUUGGUCAACAACGGAACAGCAUCCCUGGUACACUAAUUACUGAUGGUGUCGAAUACAGUAAAGAGAUUUUGUCAGAUAAAUUCAAUUCCCACUUUUUAUCUUCAGGCGCAUAUUCAUCUUCCAGCACUCAGCUAGAUGCACAGAAAUAUAUAUCCCCUUGCAUUACGAAUUCUAUAUUUAAGUCUCCUUGCAGUGAAUGAGAGAUAAAUUUAUUUCUUAAGAAGCUAAAUAAAAAUACUGCUGCCGGUAAUGACGACAUUAAAGCUACUCCAAUUAUUUUCGUUGCUAACCUUUUAUGAGCACCUUUGCAGCAUAUUUCCAACAGAGCAUUAUCAACAGGCAUUUUUCCAGUUAAUAUGAAUAUAGCUAGGGUUGCGGUCUUGCACAAAGGUGGUCCUUUCCAUAAUCUUAACAAUUAUCGACCGAUUUCGGUGUUACCCUUAUUCUCAAAGGUUUCAGUGCACAUAAUAAAAACAAGACUAACCAAGUUUCUUGAUGAACACGAAUUGCUUAUCAAGGAACAAUUCGGCUUUCGCGAGAAAAAAUCUACUGGAACAGCUUUACUUGGUAUCAAAGAACAAUUAGCUAAGAAAAUUGAUAGCAAGGUGUUCACCCUAGGAAUUUUUUUAGACUUCCUAAAAGCGUUUGACUCGGUCAAGCAUAUUAUACUGUUUGAAAAAUUACCACAUUACGGCAUUCGAGGUGUAGCUCUACAAUUAGUGCGCAGUUACUUAACAGACAGGCUACAGUAUAAGUUUCUUCACGGGUAUAAAUCUCAGCUACAGCCUUUGAAAUUCGGUGUACCACAAGGUUCUAUACUCGGUCCACUAUAUUUUACUAUCUACAUAAUUGAUAUCGUGCCGGUACCCCAAUCUUCCUCUAUAGUUCUGUAUGCGGAUGAUACCAGCUUGUUUUUCUCUGGCAGCCGUUGAAGAGAUUUAGAAAUCCCGGCAAACGAGCGGUUGAUAUCGCUUUCAUACCAUCCUGAGUGUAACCAGCUAGAAUUAAACGUUAGUAAAACUAAAUAUAUUUUAUUCAAAGGGAGAAAUAAACGCGAAGAUUACACCAUUUCUGUUAGAUUUAAAAACAAUGACAUCGAGCGUGUCUUGUUGUUUAAAUUCUUAGGUGUACUUUUUCAUGAAAAUCGCAGUUGGACACCGCAAAUCAACAAAGUACAUGCCAGUAUGUCUAGAUCAAUUUCUGUCUUAUAUAAACUUAGGUCUCUGGUACCGAACUGUCUAAAGCUCCAGGUAUAUUAUUUAGUUCAAUCUUAUCUGAAUUACUGUCUCUUAACAUGGGGUACGACUUCAGGAACGAACCUUGAAAGGUUAAAAAUUAUACAAAAGAGAGCUGUUCGCUGCAUAGAAAAUGUGCAACCAAGUGAACGCACUGCGCCAUAUUUGUCAAGCUUAAAUUUCUUACACUUAACCAACUUUUUAAUCUGAAGCUCGCCUUGUAUAUUCGCAAGGAAAUUGGAAAUGAAUUGAGUAGGUAUAUGGCUCAGUGCUACCCUACUAAUGUUCCCUAUGAUCUGCGACACGAGCGAUUUAGAAUACCAUUAAUCAGAACCAUUUACGGUAAUCAAACAUUGGUGUAGCUUAUACCUAACCUUCUCCGCAACAAUAGUUAUAUCCACGAACAUAUUGAAAAAAUGUACUUCUAUCCACAGUUUAAAGAAAAAUGUUACAAUUUACUUACUGUCUGGUGCUUUGUCCUAAAUAAGAUCUUGAGUAAAAAAAAAUCCUUUUUAUUGUUCUAUAACCUCUGUGUUCAGCUGCAUUUUCUAGCAGUUAUACAUUGCUAGGGAUUGUUAUGUUACAUAUUGAAUAACGCUUGCACAAACUUUGUACUUUUUAAUAUGUUGCCAUUUAUGUACGCAUUUGUGCUUGUUAUGGGUUAUUGGUGUUGCAUUAUUGUGUGAUUCCGUUACUCAGUUUAAGAUGCCUAAUUGCGAUGUUACUUCUGUUCAUGAAAAUCUUUUUGUGGUGCUUUAAUGUACAAAGCCAUUGUUCUUUUUUUAUUCGCAUUGCUUCUGAGCAAAUGUAUGAGUGGAGGGACCUUAGUAAGGCAGAGCUCAUCUGCCUUUUAGUCCUUUCAACCCAGGCAAUGUAUGUCUCAAUAAAAAACUGAAACUGAAA